rnacentral:pre_miRNA from 1 species
GGUCUCUCAUUCGCUUGGUGCAGGUCGGGACCUGCCUCGCCGGCGACAAUGAUGUCAGCUGACGGUGACGGCGGCGUACCGAUAAAUAUACAUGCUGUUUGGGUCCCGCCUUGCAUCAACUGAAUCGGAGACUGC